AGACAGACAUACAGACCGCCUCAAUAGGCAGGACUCGGGUAGGGAAAAAGGGUGGGUCGAUAGAUAUGACGGUGUAAAACUGUGUACGGUGUGUUUUAACGCCCCACAUCAGGACUGCGCAACGCAAAUGAAUGGAGGCAGGAGGCGCGUAGAAAAGUGUAACAAACUUGAUGAAAACUUACUUUAAAGAAGACACGACUCUGGCUUUGACAUGGAUUGGACCGGUACCUUUGAGACAACUCUAUGGAAAACUGAUACCUAAUCGUUUUUUGGAGUUUGCGGCUAUAUUUUAACGAUCAACAGAUGCUUUAGAGGACGCAGAUCAUUCCCAGAUUAUUCCCAGAUCCCACAGGAGGAGUGGAGCUCUGUUUAGGAAACACAGGACCGGCUCUGGGAUGUGAGCGUCAGGCUGGACUGGAUGUACUGGGAAAUCAGAGAGGAUCUUAAACUCCAAAUAAAUCUUUUAUUAUUAUUUAUUAUUAUUUAAGCUGUGGAUGUUCUAGCAGAGGUGUAUUUCAGCCAUGGGGAAUUUGGAAAGUGUGGAUGGACAAUGUGAGAUGAAGCAUCACAUCAUGCCGUUAAAGGUGCCAAUGCCGGAGCCUGCUGAGCUGGAGGAGCGUUUUGCUCUAGUUCUGAACUCUAUGAACCUGCCUCCGGAUAAAGCACGCCUCCUCCGCCAGUAUGACAACGAGAAGAAAUGGGACCUUAUCUGUGAUCAGGAGCGCUUCCAAGUGAAGAACCCUCCACACACAUACAUUCAGAAACUGAGGGGCUUUUUAGAUCCAGGAGUCACACGCAAGAAAUUCCGCAGGCGGGUUCAGGAAUCCACCAAAGUUCUGAGGGAACUGGAGAUAUCGUUGAGGACCAAUCACAUCGGGUGGGUGCGUGAGUUCCUGAAUGAUGAGAACAGAGGACUGGACAUUCUGGUGGAAUACCUCUCCUUUGCCCAGUGCGCUGUCACGUUGGAUUUUGAUGGUGUGGAGAAUGGAGAGGACGGCUCACUGGACAAAGCCAAAUCCUGGAGCAGGUCCAUUGAGGAUCUGCACCAGAAUGGUUUCAGUACACUGGUGCGCUCGGUGCGCCACUCGGCCCCUCGGCAUGGUUCGACAGCGAACAGCAAAACUAUCAAAAACUCCAGGAUUGUGAGUCAGAAGGAUGACGUGCACGUGUGCAUCAUGUGUCUCAGAGCAAUCAUGAACUAUCAGUACGGUUUCAACAUGGUCAUGUCCCACGCGCAUGCAGUUAAUGAAAUCGCCCUGAGCCUGAACAAUAAGAACUCGCGGACAAAAGCACUGGUCCUGGAGCUUCUGGCUGCCGUGUGUCUGGUGCGAGGGGGCCAUGAGAUCAUCCUUUCAGCGUUUGAUAACUUCAAAGAGGUGUGUAAGGAAAAGCACCGCUUUGAAAAGCUGAUGGAGUACUUCCGCUGUGAAGAUGGCAACAUCGACUUCAUGGUGGCCUGCAUGCAGUUCAUCAACAUCGUGGUCCAUUCCGUAGAAGACAUGAACUUCCGAGUGCAUCUGCAGUAUGAAUACACUAAACUGGGUUUAGAGGAUUUCCUAGAGAAAUCCAAGCACACGGAGAGCGAUAAGCUGUCUGUGCAGAUCCAGGCCUACUUGGACAACGUGUUCGACGUUGGAGGACUGCUGGAGGACGCAGAGACGAAGAAUGUGGCUCUUGAGAAAGUGGAGGAACUGGAAGAUCAGCUGUCUCAUGUGACGGAGAAGCUUCUGGAUGUGGAGAAUGAGACGGUGAUGAAAGUCGCCGAGCUGGAGAAGACACUCCUACAGAAAGACAAGGAUCUUGCUGCCAUUCGGGAGACGUAUGAAUCGACGAGCUCUCAGGUGCGUACGCUUCGACGUGUGAUACAGGAGAAGGACGUCGCCUUCCAGAGGCACACUAAUAUUGAAAAGCGGCUACUGGAGCUCGAGCAACAGGGGACUAUCCGCUUGAGGAAACAGCCUGACGGAGACUUUGCGAUCGAGGCUGUUGGAGGAGGAUCAGGGCGAAGCGGUGGAGCUAUAGACAUUAUGACUGGAGCUCCUCUUAGGGAGCUGAGCUCCGGCAGCACAACCCUCAGUGUCAGUUUGCCUGCUGCUACUGUGGAAACACCUGAACCUCCUCCUCCACCACCUCCACCUCCACCACCUCCACCUCUACCCCCAGCAGCAGAGUGUCUACCACCUCCACCUCCACCUCUGGCUCCUCCACUUCCUGGAACUUCUCCCUCAGUCAUCCUCAGUGUUGGUUUAUCAGCCAUUCGCAUCAAGAAGCCCAUAAAGACCAAGUUCCGUCUUCCUAUAUUUAACUGGGCUGCUCUGAAGCCCAACCAGAUCAACGGUACUGUCUUCAACGAUAUCGACGAUGAGCGCGUGCUUGAGGAGCUGGACCUGGAGAAGUUUGAAGAGCUCUUUAAGACUAAAGCCCAGGGACCUGUGGUUGAGCUGUCCUGUACAAAGAGCAAAACCUCCAGUAAGGCCAUGAACAAAGUUCAGCUGCUCGAUGCUAAUCGCUCCAAGAACCUGGCCAUCACACUACGCAAGGCCAACAAGAGCACGGAGGAGAUCUGUCGAGCCAUCCACACGUUUGAUCUCAAGGCCUUGCCAGUGGACUUUGUGGAGUGUCUGAUGCGCUUCCUGCCCACGGAGGCAGAGAGUAAGCUGCUGCGUCAGUACGAGAAGGAACGGCGACCUCUGGAGCAGCUGGCUGAGGAAGACCGUUUCAUGCUCCUCUUCAGCAAGAUCGAGCGCCUCACGCAGAGGAUGAGCAUCAUCACUUUUGUGGGGAACUUCAACGAUAACAUUAGCAUGCUGACCCCGCAACUCAACGCCAUCAUUGCUGCUUCAGCGUCUGUGAAGUCUUCUCCAAAGCUGAAGAGAAUGCUUGAGAUCAUUCUGGCCUUGGGUAACUACAUGAACAGUAGUAAAAGAGGCUCGGUGUAUGGUUUCAAGCUCCAAAGUUUGGAUCUGCUGCUGGACACAAAGUCUACCGAUCGCAAGAUGACGUUACUUCACUACAUCGCUUUGAUAGUGAAGGAGAAAUACCCCGAGCUUGCUAACUUCUACAACGAGUUGCACUUUGUGGAUAAAGCAGCAGCAGUGUCUCUGGAGAAUGUGCUACUGGAUGUGAAGGAGCUGGGAAAAGGAAUGGAGCUGAUCAGAAGAGAGUGCAGUCUGCAUGAUCACGCUGUACUCAAGGGAUUCCUGCAGGCCAGCGACCUGCCACUGGACAAGCUGCAGAAAGAUGCCAAGACCGCUGAGGAGGCUUUCAACACUGUGGUGAUGUACUUUGGCGAGAGUCCCAAGACAACUCCUCCGUCUGUGUUCUUCCCCGUGUUCGUGCGCUUCAUCAAGGCCUACAAAGAUGCAGUUGCGGAUAACGAACAGAGGAAGAAACAGGAGGAAGCUAUGAGGGAGAAACUGCUUGCUCAGGAGGCCAAACAGCAUGACCCCAAGGUGCAAGCUCAGAAGAAGAGGCAGCAGCAGCACGAGCUCAUCUCCGAGCUGAGACGGCGACAGGCCAAAGACCACCGUCCGGUCUACGAGGGUAAAGACGGAACAAUCGAGGACAUCAUCACAGCGUUGAAGAGUGUGCCGUUUACAGCGCGCACGGCCAAGCGGGGCUCACGCUUCUUCUGCGACACCAACCUGUAUGAUGAGUCCAACUGCUAGCCCCUUCCUAAGCUCCCUCUCAAAACCUGUCCCAAAUUCAGAAGAGCAGAGGACCGAGCUGAGUAAAUGUGGGCCUUUACUAAAUGGAGGAUCUCCGAAGCCAGCCGUUCCUGCGAGCUGACGCGGUGAUCCGAAACGGGUGGAAGCGACCCUAAAGACCCUCCCUGACCCCUCUCCACCCUGCGCUUAUCUCCCUGCACCUCACAGUGACGGAGCAUAGACCAGGACCAAAGCAAACGCCGUUUGUUUUAUAACUGAGCAGGCGAGUCCUUUAUUUAUUUAUGGAAAUCUCAUCCUUUUUGGAAAGAGGAGUCUCUCCCUGUCUCUCAGCAAGGCUACAAAAGCACAGACUUUUAAAAGUUCCCACCCUUUCCUUUUACUCACACGUGUAUCCUAAAACACACGAAGCGCGCGUGUUUGUGUGUGUGUGGCCUUGUUGGGGUGAAAAAGAAAAGACAUUUCCUGGUGAAUGGUGUGGGUGUGUGUGAGUGAGAGAGAGGACACACACACACACACACACACACACACACACACAGCCAGCACAACAUGGACCUCUACACAUGUGCAAUCGAUAACCAAGGCUCUUACUGAUGAGGAGCGAUACGUCCGACAUCUCCACCUUUUUUUUUAAAUUCCUCCCUGUUUCACAACAGCAUGAUUAUUAACAUCAGAUGGUGAAGCUCGACAGACCAAGUCUUAUUCCAGUUUGUAAAAAAAGUGCCUUUUUUCCAUCGAGACAGUAUUAUUUCCUUUAAAAUUUAACCAAUACAUAUGUUAGAUGUUUAAUUUUGUACUGAUCCUUUUUUUUUGUAUGUAUAACAUUAGAUGUUCUGUAAAUAGCCAAUUAUCUUGAAGUACAGUACGUCGUCUUAUGGAUUUCAAGCAGACAGCUUUGCUUAUUGAGGACCUGUGUUAUUUUACCAGGCAUCUAUGUGCCUUGCAUGGUUAAUACUAAGAUAACAUCAGUUCUGUCUGUCUGUAUAUACUGGUUUUAAAUGACUUCUUUUGUCUUCUGAAACCACUAAUGUGCUCCUGGGAUUGAAGGCUGACUUGACUUGAAGCUACAGGCUGCAUGUUACACAUCCAGGUGGUUAUUUUUGUAAAAAAAAAAAAAAAGAAAAAGGGGAAAAAAAAAAAAAGUAGUGUUUUACAUAACGCAGGGGUGCCAAUAUUUAUAGUUUAGCCAUACCAUUUAAGAUUUUUUUUUUAAUCGAAGAUGUCAGAGCUCCGAAAUCAUUCCAAAAUGUAUCGUUAAAUUGUUUUCCUUUUAGUUGGUGUGUUGUUUUUUUUGCUAGCCAUCAUGGCACCUCUGUAUUGUGUAUCUUUGUGGAGAAAAACUCCUGCAUCAUGAAGUCGACACUGCUUUCCACUACCGCUUCAUACCAAAGAAGAGAAGGAUUAGGAUUUCUUCCUAAACAGCAGUUAUCAGCAUUUAACUGGUUUGUAGGAGUUUUGACGAUCCUCUAUUAGGGCUUUAUUGUGAAGAUUAGGCUUCCUUUUGCACUAGUCAGAACUAAUACACUACAUUCUGCCAUUAAGGUGCAGGACAGAACAGAAGCAACACUAGACCUUGUGCUGUGGGUCUCUUAAAUAUUUAAUGUUUUUAUUUUUGUUUUUUUUUUCAUACAGAAACUGUAUCAUUCUGAAUGUGUGACCUUGCAGCAUCCCUGUUAUCAGCUUUAGCCAUUAAACUUGUCAAAGGAAGCACAAAUAAAAGUCAGACGCUCCGGA